GAUGAACGCUAGCGGCAGGCUUAACACAUGCAAGUCGAGGGGUAUAGAAAGCUUGCUUUCUAGAGACCGGCAAACGGGUGCGGAACACGUACACAACCUACCUUUAUCAGGGGGAUAGCCUUCGGAAACGGAGAUUAAUACCCCAUAGUAUUAUGGAGUGGCAUCAUUUUAUAAUUAAAGAAUUUCGGAUAGAGAUGGGUGUGCGUAAGAUUAGCUAGUUGGUGAGGUAAAGGCUCACCAAGGCAACGAUCUUUAGCUGAUGUGAGAGCAUGAUCAGCCACACGGGCACUGAGACACGGGCCCGACUCCUACGGGAGGCAGCAGUGAGGAAUAUUGGUCAAUGGACGGAAGUCUGAACCAGCCAUGCCGCGUGAAGGAUGAAGGCGUUCUGCGUUGUAAACUUCUUUUAUUUAGGAAGAAACCACUUUUUUUAAGAGUGUUGACGGUAUUAAAUGAAUAAGCACCGGCUAACUCCGUGCCAGCCGCCGCGGUAAAAC
rnacentral:rRNA from 1 species